GUAUUAAUUUUUGACCUUAUAGGUCUAUCAAUUAAACAUUCUAAGACUUUUUAUAGUGUGUAUAAAACAUAGACGCAGACUUUAACAUCUGGCCUACAAUAAGUUCACAGGUGGAUUGAAAGGUGGAGUGCACAUGCCCCUAAAGGCCAGCAGCAUCCUAAGGAUUCAAUAAUGAUCCUUCCGCAGGUUCACCUACGGAAA
rnacentral:misc_RNA from 1 species